GCUGAUCACAUCACACUAUGUUUAUUCUCUACUAGAGAGAGCUAUACAAAACCAUUCAGUUCAACCAAUUUGAGCAGAAUUAUUACACUAUUCGUAAUGAAGACCGGUGUGAUCAUGGUUGUUGGGCUGAUUUUCAUCAACUUAUGCACCUGCAUGCCAAGACAUGUGGCAAACCAUGGAUGUCACGAUACAACUGUGCCACAGAAGGAAAUGCGCAGUCUGAUGUCUGGCACUGAUGGCAGGAACGGGCCUCCGAGCAACGAUCACCAGUGCCCACUUGGGACCUACCCUAAUUGCCAAGGGAUGUCCCAGAAUACCCAAGAAGCAGCUCAAGCUGUUGGAGGAAACUAAGGCAAACUGAGAGAUUGUGAGUAUGGAAUGAAUACCC